CAACAGCAUAGUUCCAAAUGGACUCAGUACUUCCUCAAUUCAACAGAAAGGGCUGUAUUAUAGCGGUGUGCUUGGUAGUUGCUUGAAGAAUUCAUGAGAUAACCCUGUCUCUGGUUACAUUUAUGAUUCUGUGGGAGAGUUGCUGCUCUGAGAGUGAAGAGGAACUUAGUCUGUCAUGGACACACACCAAGGAACUCAGACUCUGUCGUUGAUAUGUACAAAGCUAAUCCUAAAGUCAAUGAGGACUGGGGAGUACUGCACCAAAGCUCAGAGACCACGCUGCUGCCACAACUUGGUAUGCAAGAGGACCACAGAAACACUUAAGUUAGCAGCAGUUCCUUUGACUCCAAAAAGCAAAGCCUCGUCCUGGACAGAGAGAAGAAUAUUACCUUCCUGCUGAAGGAGCUGGAUUCACUCAGAGAUCUCCAAUAAGAAGCUCCAGGACAAGUUGGUCAUGAGGGAGAAGGAGCGGGAGAGCA
rnacentral:lncRNA from 1 species